rnacentral:rRNA from 1 species
AUACGUAGGUGGCAAGCGUUAUCCGGAUUUACUGGGUGUAAAGGGCGCGUAGGCGGGGGUGCAAGCCAGAUGUGAAAUCCUCGGGCUCAACUCGAGAACUGCAUUCAAAACUGUUGCUCUUGAGUGCAGUAGAGGCAAGCGGAAUUCCCGGUGUAGCGGUGAAAUGCGCAGAGAUCGGGAGGAACACCAGUGGCGAAGGCGGCUUGCUGGGCUGUUACUGACGCUGAGGCACGAAAGCAUGGGUAGCAAACAGGAUUAGAUACCCUGGUAGUCCAUGCUGUAAACGAUGAUUACUAGGUGUGGGUGGACUGACCCCAUCCGUGCCGGAGUUAACACAUUAAGUAAUCCACCUGGGGAGUACGGCCGCAAGGUUGAAACUCAAAUGAAUUGGCGGGG